rnacentral:rRNA from 1 species
UACAGAGGGUGCAAGCGUUAAUCGGAAUUACUGGGCGUAAAGCGUGCGUAGUCGGUUAUUUAAGUCGGGUGUGAAAGCCCCGGGCUCAACCUGGGAAUUGCAUUCGAUACUGGAUAGCUAGAGUUCGGCAGAGGGAAGCGGAAUUUCCGGUGUAGCGGUGAAAUGCGUAGAUAUCGGGAGAAACACCAGUGGCGAAGGCGGCUUCCUGGCCUGUUCUUGACGCUGAGGCGCGAAAGCUAGGGGAGCAAACGGG